GUGGAGACAAUAGCUCCCGUGAACACAAGCAGACAAGGCUCAAUGCAGCUUUCUUCCCCUCCUCAAUGCAGCUUUGAUCCAGCCAGGGCUACCGGGAGGAAUUUCAGUCUAACUGGGGCAGCCCUACCUGGGAACCAUGCCUCACUCUGUGGGGGUGGCUCCUCCCAUUAUUGGGGAGGUUAUCGGGAGCCGGCAUGGAAAGUUCCAUAAACAUGGAGCACCAGCACCCCACCAGCGCCUCCACACACCAGCCUGAUUGAAUUUAGCACAUGUCUUUGCUAUAGGUACGAUUGGCGAUGACAGUUGUCAAGCUGUUGUGGCUCAGUCUCAAAGUCACUACCGUUUUGUGACGCAGGGGCUGGAACUGCCACUUCUCCCAGCUAACUGGCGCCAUGUCAGGUUCUGCCACUAGGAGGCGCCAGAGGGAGAUCGCAAAGCUGGAGGACCGAAAAGGGACUUUUAUCUUUCAGUGCCCACCAGUUUCAUCCUGGCAUCGAAGUUUGUUUCAGUCUCUAGGUUUUUUCAACACCCCUAGUACCAGCCUCUUAGUCAUUUCUCUGCCCCAUGAUUUACAAAACUCUCCUACUUUAAAAACAACCACCUCUGGGUUUUAAAAACAAUCCCAGCGCCCUGUGUACAAUUUCACAACAAAGGAGAGAAGCGUCAAGGGCUGGGACGAUAGCAGAGGGGUCUGCGCCUGCAUGAAGACCCAAUUUCUUCCCGGGUGGUGGAUAAAGCUAAGGAGAUAAAAAAUGACCUUUCACCUUCGGGAACAGUAAUACGGGAAGUCUGAGGUUCCCGCUCCGGCAUGAGGAAAUGUCUAACAGCGGAAGACGAAAGUAGAGCCAGGCCAAUGUGCAUCAUGGGGAAACUGGUUUCAGCACCACCCAAGAAAGAAUGGUCUCGCGUGCUGGCUGGCGGACAGUGGGAAUGGCUGCCUAGAGAGGCAGUGAGCGCCCCAUCCUUGAAAGCAUGCAAGAAGCAGCUCUUUCCACUAUAUUAAACAAUGGGUUCAAUUAUUUCUAAGGAUCCUUCUCCCUGUUCAAAUUCUGGAUCUUUCUACUUGCUCAAUGUGUUGCCCAGGGUCACUGAACCUCUCAGAGCCUGAGUUGCCUCAUCUGUGAAUCAGGCAGAUGGUGCUACUGGCCUCGGUCUUAUGAUCUCUCUCCCUUUCCCCUUCACACCUUCCCUCCAACAAACUGAUAGUCAUGAUGGGCCAGGCACUGUGCUAGGCUCUGGGGAUACUAAAUGGAAGAAGAUGGGAUACAGACACUGCCUUAGAAAAAGCUCAAACAUGUAGUUGAGACAGACAGAUAAACAGAACGUUAUAAAGCAAUUCCUUAGAUGCACUGAUAGAGCUUUGCAUUGAGUACUCUGGAAGGGUAGAGGCAAGGCAUCUAACUCAGCAGGGAUGAGGUGGGGAGGAGCAGUCAGAGUGCUUCCUGGACGAGAUGGGGCAAUAAUUGGAUGGUGGGAGUAUAUGCUUUGGAAGCAGAGUCAACAGUGUAAUCAAAGACCUGGGGGCAAGAAACAGCAUGGUGUGCAGGGAACUGCACCAAAGGCAGUGCUGGUGGGAUGCAAGCCAUGAGGGGACAGUGAUGGGAGACAAGGGGAAGAGGUAGGCAGCGGGUGGAUGAUGCAGGCCCUUGUCUUCCGUGCUAAAGAAUGUGAACUUAGAUCCUGUCAAUUAUGAAACGUCAAUGGAUGAUUUACACAGGAGAGUGACAUGUUCAGGUUUCUGUUUUAGCGCCACCUCUCUGGAGCCUGUGCGGAGGAUGAAUUAGGAAGAAACAAGGCCAGACCACCAGUUGGCAGACUGCUGAAGUCAAGAAGUCCUCUAAGCCAGAAGUGAUGAUGCCAUGAACCAGGCUUCUUACAGAGUUGUGAUGUGCCCCGGAACGCCUCAUCUCAGGGAAGGCAAGAGGAGUCUCUCUUAAGAGAGUAUGGCGUCUGCUUCUAGUGCUGUUUACGGCAAAGCUGAAAACUGUCUUUGAAAUUAACAACAGAUGUGCAUAAAUCUUCAGUUACCUAGCAACUAAUACAAGGGCCUGGCAGGUGACACAGAGGAGUUCUGUGCCCAGGGAGCAUGGUGAGCCAGACAACUGGGCAGCUGCUAGGUGGCUCCAGCUGAAUACGGCCAUAGAAGAAUGGGGCCCAGAGCUGCCAGAUCUUUUGAUUCUUCAAAAAGCAGAAAUCCGGAAUUCAUGUAGAAUCUCCUAUUUAAAAAAUAUUGACAACUAAUUUGGAGUUGUAAAAAAAACAUUGAGUGAAUUAAACAAUGUGAGUCUGCCUUAAAGCAAAACUUCUGAACAUGAGGUUCUCUUUUUAGAAAUUACAUGGUUGCUCACAACUCACUUUGUCUGAUGGGAUGGAGACGAGCUUGUAUAGGCCACCGGCUAACAGGGUUCAUCCAGUGCCCCCUACAUACUGUGCUGGGUGCCUUUCACAUCUGC
ensembl:lncRNA